rnacentral:lncRNA from 1 species
GACAUCUGUGGUAUAGAUCCUGACUUCCACCUUGUGUGUUACACAGGACAUUCGAACACCAAUUUCUCAACCGUUAACACCUUACGACAAUUUUGCUGAUCAGAGCUUAGAAGACAACGUACGCAAAUUUUUUACUAAUACAAUUUGAACUUCGAGUUAAAGAGGAUGCUAUUAUUCCUGAUUAACAUGACCCUCCACAUAGGUUUAGAUGAGCACUAACUGCAGAAACCCUAGUGGGAGGUUCUAAAAUUGUCAACAUGUCCAGGUUUAUGGCCCAUCUAUUAACAGACCUCUUCUAAUUACUCAUAUUAAACGUUAUCUAUCACGGUUUCGAGUAGAAUUAACCUGGUAUACUCGUUUCUGCCUGGAUUCGUUUUGGUUUCUUGUGAUUUCAUCGGUAUUUGAUUGCCUGCUUCAAAAAUGUGUUGCAGGAAAAUAGAUCCAGCACCAAGAAGCUGUCAAAACAGAUAACACCAGUUGCGUCAUUAGUGUAUGAGGACAAUGAUCCUUCCACAACAAGAAGGCAGUCUCAAAGGGGUGCCGAAGGAACCUUUAAUCGCCGCCUGGCCUUUACUCCUCUUCCACAAUCUGAGCUCAACAUACGAAUGGGCUGUACACCUAAUCGAACUCCUGAAAAACGCACGCCUACGAGAACCAUGGGAACCCUGGACAACUUCAUGCCGAUCCACGUAAGUCAUC